AUUGAACGCUGGCGGGAGGCUUAACACAUGCAAGUCGAACGAGUGGCGGACGGGUGAGUAAUGUCUGGGAACCUGCCCGAUGGAGGGGGAUAACUACUGGAAACGGUAGCUAAUACCGCAUACUAUUGGAUGUGCCCAUAUCGGAUUCGCUAGUAGGUGGGGUAAAGGCUCACCAAGGCGACGAUCCCUAGCUGGUCUGAGAGGAUGACCAGCCACACUGGAACUGAGAAAUGGUCCAGACUCCUACGGGAGGCAGCAGUGGUGAAGAUUGCACACUGGGCGCAAGCCUGAUGCAGCCAUGCCGCGUGUAUGAAGAAGGCCUUCGGGUUGUAAAGUACUUUCAGCGGGGAGGCGUUACCCGCAGAAGAAGCACCGGCUAACUCCGUGCCAGCAGCCGCGGUAAUAC
rnacentral:rRNA from 1 species